rnacentral:rRNA from 1 species
AGCAGUCGCCGCGGUAAUACGGAGGAUCCAAGCGUUAUCCGGAUUUAUUGGGUUUAAAGGGUGCGUAGGCGGCUCAUUAAGUCAUGGGUGAAAGACGGUAGCUUAACUAUCGCAGUGCCUUUGAUACUGAUGAGCUUGAAUGUAGUUGAGGUAGGCGGAAUGUGACAAGUAGCGGUGAAAUGCAUAGAUAUGUCACAGAACACCAAUUGCGAAGGCAGCUUACUAAAGUAUGAUUGACGCUGAGGCACGAAAGCGUGGGGAUCAAACAGGAUUAGAUACCCCAGUAGUCCCUGUCUCUUAUAC